rnacentral:misc_RNA from 1 species
AAAAAAAAAAAAAGAAAAAAGCGUGCAUAUACAUGUAGAAUCAGAAAUAUUUAGUAUGGUAUAUAUAUUUUUUCCAGAAAUCUAUUACUUUCUUCAAAUUAUUUCAAUAGGUAUAAAGAUAUCAAUAGAAGAUACAUGUUUUAUCCAGCAUUAAACAUUUAUUAUUCAUUCAUCAUCUAACUGAACAAAAAAUGAUAUAUGCAUCAAAAAAAUACAACAGAAGCAAUCCCCAUUACCUAUGUCCUCAUGCUCUGGAGAAU